GCGUCAAUAGCGCAGCGAGCUAAAGCGCGCGCUUCCGCUUAGAGCGGGAUGCGGGUUCAAAACCCCGCUUGACGCG